AUGAAAAGCAAGUAGAGGACGGCCGCGAUGGUCAGUCUGGUCUUCACCUUCCUCUGCUUCAGCAACUCGCGCCGCUUGCUGCAGUUGUCACAGGGGUCCAUCUUCAAACUCAGCUGACUGUUGGUCAAAGCACAGAGAAGACUGAGGCAGGAGGAUUGCCAUAAGUUUGAGGACAUCCUACCUGAACUAUGAGUUGGGACCCUGUCUCAAAAAAAACACAGCCAGAGGCUGGCUGACUUCCUUGGGAACCCCGGCUCUUUAGCCACCAGCUGUCUGUUCUCUGAUGGGAAUCCUGUCUCUAGUGACCUCCUUACCUCCGUUUGCAGCUGAAUCAAAAUUCUUGAGGUUAGGUACUUUACAAAGAAAAGAGAAUCAACAGUUCCCAAUUCUGGAGGCUGAUGGUCUCAGACUGUGUAGCCCAUUCAGUCCAGUUUCUGUGACUCAUGGUGUCAAAACAGGUCCCAUCAAGGCAGAAGCCAGAGGGAUUCAGGGAUGAGGCUGUUUUGCUUUGUUUUGGUUUACUUUGUUUAACAUGAUAAACAAAAACUGGCUCUCUCAA
ensembl:processed_transcript 4930417H01Rik uncharacterized LOC110317491